rnacentral:rRNA from 1 species
GAUCAUGGCUCAGGAUGAACGCUGGCGGCGUGCCUAAUACAUGCAAGUCGAACGCUGGAAAUCUAACUUGCUAGAUUGAAGGAGUGGCGAACGGGUGAGUAAUACAUAAGCAACCUACCCACGAAGACUGGGAUAAUCUCUGGAAACGGGGACUAAUACCGGAUAGGUAAUCGGAAGGCAUCUUCUGAUUAUUAAAGGUUAAAAACACUGGUGGAUGGGCUUAUGGCGCAUUAGUUAGUUGGUGAGG